rnacentral:rRNA from 1 species
ACGGGGCCCGCACAAGCGGUGGAGCAUGUGGUUUAAUUCGAAGCAACGCGAAGAACCUUACCAGGUCUUGACAUCCCGAUGCUAUUUCUAGAGAUAGAAAGUUACUUCGGUACAUCGGUGACAGGUGGUGCAUGGUUGUCGUCAGCUCGUGUCGUGAGAUGUUGGGUUAAGUCCCGCGACGAGCGCAACCCCUAUUGUUAGUUGCCAUCAUUCAGUUGGGCACUCUAGCGAGACUGCCGGUAAUAAACCGGAGGAAGGUGGGGAUGACGUCAAAUCAUCAUGCCCCUUAUGACCUGGGCUACACACGUGCUACAAUGGUUGGUACAACGAGUUGCGAGUCGGUGACGGCGAGCUAAUCUCUUAAAGCCAAUCUCAGUUCGGAUUGUAGGCUGCAACUCGCCUACAUGAAGUCGGAAUCGCUAGUAAUCGCGGAUCAGCACGCCGCGGUGAAUACGUUCCCGGGCCUU